AUUGAACGCUGGCGGCAGGCCUAACACAUGCAAGUCGAACGAGUGGCGGACGGGUGAGUAAUGUCUGGGAAACUGUCUGAUGGAGGGGGAUAACUACUGGAACCGGUAGCUAAUACCGCAUACCAUCGGAUGUGCCCAGAUGGGCUUAGCUAGUAGGUGGGGUAAAGGCUCACCUAGGCGAGGAUCCCUAGCUGGUCUGAGAGGAUGACCAGCCACACUGGAAAGAAGACACGGUCAUGACUCCGACGGGAGGCAGCAGUGGGUAAUAUAGGACAAUGGGAGCAAGCCUGAUGCACCCAUGCCGCGUGUAUGAAGAAGGCCUUCGAGUUGUAAAGUUCUGUCAGCGGGGAGGCGUUACCCGCAGAAGAAGCACCGGCUAACUCAGUGCCAGCCUCCGCGGUAAUUC
rnacentral:rRNA from 1 species